rnacentral:rRNA from 1 species
AACGAACGCUGGCGGCAGGCCUAACACAUGCAAGUCGAGCGCCCCGCAAGGGGAGCGGCAGACGGGUGAGUAACGCGUGGGAACGUACCUUUUGGUUCGGAACAACUCCGGGAAACUGGAGCUAAUACCGGAUAAGCCCUAACGGGGAAAGAUUUAUUGCCGAAAGAUCGGCCCGCGUCUGAUUAGCUAGUUGGUGAGGUAACGGCUCACCAAGGCGACGAUCAGUAGCUGGUCUGAGAGGAUGAUCAGCCACACUGGGACUGAGACACGGCCCAGACUCCUACGCGAAGCAGCAGUGGGGAAUAUUGGACAAUGGGCGCAAGCCUGAUCCAGCCAUGCCGCGUGAGUGAUGAAGGCCUUAGGGUUGUAAAGCUCUUUUGUCCGGGAAGAUAAUGACUGUACCGGAAGAAUAAGCCCCGGCUAACUUCGUG